CCUACGGGCGGCAGCAGUGAGGAAUUUUCGGCAAUGGGGGCAACCCUGACCGAGCAACGCCGCGUGCAGGACGAAGGUCUUCGGAUCGUAAACUGCUUUUCUGUGGGAAGAGCAAGGACGGUACCACAGGAAGAAGCCCCGGCUAACUACGUGCCAGCAGCCGCGGUAAUACGUAGGGGGCGAGCGUUGUCCGGAGUUACUGGGCGUAAAGCGCACGCAGGCGGUCGUAUAAGUUUGGGGUGACAGUUGCCGGCUUAACCGGGAAAGUGCCUCAAAGACUGUGCGACUUGAGGGCCACAGAGGGACAUGGAACUCCAGGUGUAGUGGUGAAAUGCGUAGAUAUCUGGAAGAACACCAAAGGCGAAGGCAGUGUCCUGGGUGGUACCUGACGCUCAGGUGCGAAAGCCAGGGGAGCGAACGGGAUUAGAUACCCCUGUAGUC
rnacentral:rRNA from 1 species